rnacentral:tRNA from 1 species
GUUAAGGUGGCAGAACCCGGCUAAU